rnacentral:rRNA from 1 species
AGAGUUUGAUCCUGGCUCAGGAUGAGCGCUGGCGGCGUGCCUAAUACAUGCAAGUCGAGCGAACAGAUAAGGAGCUUGCUCCUUUGACGUUAGCGGCGGACGGGUGAGUAACACGUGGAUAACCUACCUAUAAGACUGGGAUAACUUCGGGAAACCGGAGCUAAUACCGGAUAACAUAUUGAACCGCAUGGUUCAAUAGUGAAAGGCGGCUUUGCUGUCACUUAUAGAUGGAUCCGCGCCGUAUUAGCUAGUUGGUAAGGUAACGGCUUACCAAGGCAACGAUACGUAGCCGACCUGAGAGGGUGAUCGGCCACACUGGAACUGAGACACGGUCCAGACUCCUACGGGAGGCAGCAGUAGGGAAUCUUCCGCAAUGGGCGAAAGCCUGACGGAGCAACGCCGCGUGAGUGAUGAAGGUCUUCGGAUCGUAAAACUCUGUUAUCAGGGAAGAACAAAUGUGUAAGUAACUGUGCACAUCUUGACGGUACCUGAUCAGAAAGCCACGGCUAACUACGUGCCAGCAGCCGCGGUAAUACGUAGGUGGCAAGCGUUAUCCGGAAUUAUUGGGCGUAAAGCGCGCGUAGGCGGUUUUUUAAGUCUGACGUGAAAGCCCACGGCUCAACCGUGGAGGGUCAUUGGAAACUGGAAAACUUGAGUGCAGAAGAGGAAAGUGGAAUUCCAUGUGUAGCGGUGAAAUGCGCAGAGAUAUGGAGGAACACCAGUGGCGAAGGCGACUUUCUGGUCUGUAACUGACGCUGAUGUGCGAAA